rnacentral:rRNA from 1 species
GCGGGGCUUAAUGGGCGCCGCCGACCGUGGGCCAGAACGGGUCGAGAAUAAGGUGCUGGGCGGAAUGUCAGCACUUUUCGCUCCUGAUAUACGGGAGCGUGAACCCCAGGGGAAUAGCGUGAACGCACGUCACAUUUCCAAAGCGCGGGACGACGCGGGGCAUCCCGGGCCUUAGAACAGAGUCUAUGGGCAGAGGCCCGAGAACGAGAGUGUUGGGCAUGGCUAAUAACCGUGGCCACCCGGCAAUGGGGUGGGCAGAUGGAUUAGCCGGCGUCGGUGUAGGAUGUCGCGGCCUCGGCAAAGCCCCUCAGCCGUAAGUUCGUACUGAGGGCAUACUUGAUAAUCGGAGUCAAAGGGCUCCAAUAGGGCUAGCUGUCCCAUUCAAACCGGUGCACAAUGACUCGAUAAGCGAUGCUCAGAUUUGAGCAUGUUGUAUCGUACCGAUUUAGCCUGUGGCUAUCGUUAC